rnacentral:rRNA from 1 species
GACGAACGCUGGCGGCGUGCCUAAUACAUGCAAGUAGAACGCUGAAGGAGGAGCUUGCUUCUCUGGAUGAGUUGCGAACGGGUGAGUAACGCGUAGGUAACCUGCCUGGUAGCGGGGGAUAACUAUUGGAAACGAUAGCUAAUACCGCAUAAGAGUAGAUGUCGCAUGACAUUUGCUUUAAAGGUGCAAUUGCAUCACUACCAGAUGGACCUGCGUUGUAUUAGCUAGUUGGUGAGGUAACGGCUCACCAAGGCAACGAUACAUAGCCGACCUGAGAGGGGGAUCGGCCACACUGGGACUGAGACACGGCCCAGACUCCUACGGGAGGCAGCAGUAGGGAAUCUUCGGCAAUGGACGGAAGUCUGACCGAGCAACGCCGCGUGAGUGAAGAAGGUUUUCGGAUCGUAAAGCUCUGUUGUAAGAGAAGAACGAGUGUGAGAGUGGAAAGUUCACACUGUGACGGUAUCUUACCAGAAAGGGACGGCUAACUACGUG